rnacentral:lncRNA from 1 species
CGAUCAAAACUGAUGGACAAGUCAACGGCUGCAUGUUUUGCAAGUCAAAUAUAUUCAGUAACAAAAUGUGCAAGCAUUGCUGAUGUUAAUCACCAAAUGAUCCAAAAAUCAGGCAGAUCCCCGAUCCCUCCUUUUAUCCGAUGGUCGGUGGAGUCACCCGACCAACUCCAGUGGAUCUGAUCCGCGCUCCCCCUCCAUUUUUCAUACCAAUCACGCGUGCCCUCUCCCUCCUCCACUAUGUGUUUCAGCUUAUCUAGCUUUCCCCCACAGUUGCUACCUUUUUCUUUAAAAAAAGUGAAGGGACUAAGCUGAAGGCUGUUUUUUUUUUCUGUUUUCAUUCGCAGCACUUGUUUCAAGACAGUUUGUUGACAUGUCUCGCAUAAGAAUUGAAGGAUUACUCGCUGCAUUCCCGAAACUGGUUGGGACUGGGAAGCAGCACACUUAUGUUGAAAUUGAAAAUGUGCGUUAUGUUUAUCAACCUAUUGAAGAUUUAUAUCUUCUACUUAUCACAAACAAGUAGAGCAACAUUCUUGAAGAUAUGGACACUUUGAGGCUGCUCUCCAAGCUCGUAUCCUACUUUUGCAUAUAUUAAUCUUCUGAUUCUUUGGAAAUUACCUUAUUUGUAUGAUCCUAUUUAAUAUGAAUUAAAGUAGAAACUUGGUUUUUUGGGGGUGGGUGGGGGUGUUAACUUCAAGAACAUGGGCUUAAGAUGACCAUACUGGCCUAUCUGGAUUUUACAGAUUUUACAUAUUACUGAGGGGGAAAACUUAAAAUACAACAUGCACUAUAGGUACUUGAAAGUAUCUAUGCACAAUCUUAACCAAUAUGAAUCUCAUUUUUAGAGCUGUGUAUAUAUUAACUUCAUGCUACUAUCCAGUGGUAUGUUCUUUCACAAUAAUAUUUCUAUACUACCGUCUCCUUAACUUGGAAACCGCCUGAAUACUCCCCUUCCUUGGAUGAGGAAGGUGUCUGUAAAACAGCAU